rnacentral:rRNA from 1 species
GUGCAGUGCGCAGCUUACCAUGCAGUCGAGCGCACUCUUCGGAGUGAGCGGCGGACGGGUUAGUAACGCGUGGGAACGUGCCCUUCUCUAAGGAAUAGCCACUGGAAACGGUGAGUAAUACCUUAUACGCCCUUCGGGGGAAAGAUUUAUCGGAGAAGGAUCGGCCCGCGUUAGAUUAGAUAGUUGGUGGGGUAAUGGCCUACCAAGUCUACGAUCUAUAGCUGGUUUUAGAGGAUGAUCAGCAACACUGGGACUGAGACACGGCCCAGACUCCUACGGGAGGCAGCAGUGGGGAAUCUUGGACAAUGGGCGCAAGCCUGAUCCAGCCAUGCCGCGUGAGUGAUGAAGGCCUUAGGGUCGUAAAGCUCUUUCGCCAGAGAUGAUAAUGACAGUAUCUGGUAAAGAAACCCCGGCUAACUCCGUGCCAGCAGCCGCGGUAAUACGGAGGGGGUUAGCGUUGUUCGGAAUUACUGGGCGUAAAGCGCACGUAGGCGGAUCAGAAAGUAUAGGGUGAAAUCCCAGGGCUCAACCCUGGAACUGCCUUGUAAACUCCUGGUCUUGAGUUCGAGAGAGGUGAGUGGAAUUCCGAGUGUAGAGGUGAAAUUCGUAG